AUUAUUUUGGCAGAUUAGUGUAAUAGAUUUAGAAUCUAAAUAUGUAAAUAUUUACAAAUAAUA
rnacentral:tRNA from 1 species